rnacentral:rRNA from 1 species
CCUACGGGCGGCAGCAGUAGGGAAUAUUGCGCAAUGGGCGCAAGCCUGACGCAGCAACGCCGCGUGGAGGAAGAAGGCUUUCGGAUUGUAAACUUCUUUUGUUAGGGAAGAGCAUGAGACUGUACCUCUUGAAUAAGCCACCGCUAACUACGUGCCAGCAGCCGCGGUAAUACGUAGGUGGCAAGCGUUUUCCGGAUUUACUGGGUGUAAAGGGCGUGCAGCCGGGAAGACAAGUCAGAUGUGAAAUCCCGCGGCUUAACCGCGGAACUGCAUUUGAAACUGUUUUUCUUGAGUACCGGAGAGGUGAUUGGAAUUCUUUGUGUAGCGGUGAAAUGCGUAGAGAUAAGGAAGAACACCAGUGGCGAAGGCGGAUGACUGGACGGCAACUGACGGUGAGGCGCGAAAGCGUGGGGAGCAAACAGGAUUAGAUACCCUUGUAGUC